CAUCUGACUUGUCUCCUGCUGAGCACAAUCUGCAUAUCCUCGGGAGACAAGUGAGAUGUC
rnacentral:pre_miRNA from 1 species